rnacentral:rRNA from 1 species
AUUAAAAACCAAUGCCCUUCGGGGCUCUCUGGUGAUUCAUAAUACUUUCUCGAAUCGCACGCCCUUGCGCCGGCGAUGGUUCAUUCAAAUUUCUGCCCUAUCAACUUUCGACGGCUGGGUCUUGGCCAGCCGUGGUGACAACGGGUAACGGAGGGUUAGGGCUCGACCCCGGAGAAGGAGCCUGAGAAACGGCUACUACAUCCGAGGAAGGCAGCAGGCGCGCAAAUUACCCAAUCCCGACACGGGGAGGUAGUGACAAUAAAUACUGAUACAGGGCUCUUUCGGGUCUUGUAAUUGGAAUGAGUACAAUUUAAAUCCCUUAACGAGGAACAAUUGGAGGGCAAGUCUGGUGCCAGCAGCCGCGGUAAUUCCAGCUCCAAUAGCGUAUAUUAAAGUUGUUGAGGUUAAAAGCUCGUAGUUGAACCUUGGGCCUAGCCGGCCGGUCCGCCUCACCGCGUGCACUGGCUCGGCUGGGUCUUUCCUUCUGGAGAACCGCAUGCCCUUCACUGGGUGUGCC